rnacentral:ncRNA from 1 species
GUAACCGUGAGGUUACAUCUGAAGGCUAUUUGCGAUUGAACAAAGAGCAAAUACAGACUACAAAACCCGGUACUGACGAACAGGAACCGUAUACGGAGGCAUAUUUACUUGGGCAAGCAAACACAUAAUUGUAACGCCCGACGAUUGACAAAAGGGUAAGUAUGUAGAUACGGCAGGGAUCGGGUGAAAGAAGAUGCC